CCUACGGGUGGCAGCAGUGGGGAAUAUUGCACAAUGGGGGAAACCCUGAUGCAGCGACGCCGCGUGAGUGAAGAAGUAUUUCGGUAUGUAAAGCUCUAUUAGCAGGGAAGAAGCAAGACGGUACCUGACUAAGAAGUCCCGGCUAACUACGUGCCAGCAGCCGCGGUAAUACGUAGGGGGCAAGCGUUAUCCGGAUUUACUGGGUGUAAAGGGAGCGUAGACGGUAUGGCAAGUCUGAAGUGAAAGCCCAGGGCUUAACCCUGGGACUGCUUUGGAAACUGGUAGACUAGAGUGCUGGAGAGGUAAGUGGAAUUCGUGGUGUAGCGGUGAAAUGCGUAGAUAUUAGGAAGAACACCGAUGGCGAAGGCAGCCUACUGGACUGCGACUGACGUUGAGGCCCGAAAGCGUGGGGAGCAAACAGGAUUAGAUACCCGUGUAGUC
rnacentral:rRNA from 1 species